GACGAACGCUGGCGGCGUGCUUAACACAUGCAAGUCGUACGGUAAGGCCCUUUCGGGGGUCCACGAGUGGCGAACGGGUGAGUAACACGUGAGUAACCUGCCCACAACUUUGGGAUAACGCUAGGAAACUGGUGCUAAUACUGGAUAUGUGCUCCUGCUGCAUGGUGGGGGUUGGAAAGCUCCGGCGGUUGUGGAUGGACUCGCGGCCUAUCAGCUUGUUGGUGGGGUAGUGGCCUACCAAGGCGGCGACGGGUAGCCGGCCUGAGAGGGUGACCGGCCACAUUGGGACUGAGAUACGGCCCAGACUCCUACGGGAGGCAGCAGUGGGGAAUAUUGCACAAUGGGCGCAAGCCUGAUGCAGCAACGCCGCGUGCGGGAUAACGGCCUUCGGGUUGUAAACCGCUUUCAGCAGGGACGAAGCUUUUUGUGACGGUACCUGCAGAAGAAGCACCGGCUAACUACGUG
rnacentral:rRNA from 1 species